CGAACGCUGGCGGCAGGCCUAACACAUGCAAGUCGAACGGACCUUUCGGGGUUAGUGGCGGACGGGUGAGUAACGCGUGGGAACGUACCCUUUGGCUCGGAAUAGCCUCGGGAAACUGGGAGUAAUACCGGAUACGGUCGAGAGACGAAAGAUUUAUCGCCGAAGGAUCGGCCCGCGUUGGAUUAGGUAGUUGGUGGGGUAAUGGCCUACCAAGCCGACGAUCCAUAGCUGGUUUGAGAGGAUGAUCAGCCACACUGGGACUGAGACACGGCCCAGACUCCUACGGGAGGCAGCAGUGGGGAAUCUUAGACAAUGGGGGAAACCCUGAUCUAGCCAUGCCGCGUGAUCGAUGAAGGCCUUAGGGUUGUAAAGAUCUUUCAGUGGGGAAGAUAAUGACGGUACCCACAGAAGAAGCCCCGGCUAACUCCGUGCCAGCAGCCGCGGUAAUCUGAUGGCGCGAGG
rnacentral:rRNA from 1 species